rnacentral:sRNA from 1 species
CUCAGUUGCAAUAUGAGGCUGUUCAGCUACAAGAGCUCUGAGUUCCCUGUGGUUCUGUUGGACGAGAUUCUUUGAAUAGAUUCUUAAUGGUUCCUUCAUUCAAGUAGCCAUAUGCACUGCUUUUAGUGUUGUCAGGUUAACUGCAGGUUUUAAAAAACUGUAUUUAUUAUAGAAUCUGGAAAUUAAUUAAUCAGAAUCAGUUGCUCAACUACCGUUCUGCCAUUUCAAAUCAUGGAUCAAAAAUAGAAGGCCUGGAAAGAGAACUGACUGAUUUGAAUCAAGAAUUUGAGACUUUGCAAGAAAAGGCUCAAGUAAAUUCCAGAAAAGCACAAACAUUAAACAACAAUGUUAAUCGGGCAACACAAAGUGCAGAAGAACUGGAUGUGAAGAUUAAAAAUGUCAUACGGAAUGUGCACAUUCUUUUAAAGCAGAUCUCUGGGACAGAUGGAGAGGGAAACAACGUGCCUUCAGGUGACUUUUCCAGAGAGUGGGCUGAAGCCCAGCGCAUGAUGAGGGAACUGCGGAACAGGAACUUUGGAAAGCACCUCAGAGAAGCAGAAGCUGAUAAAAGGGAGUCGCAGCUCUUGCUGAACCGGAUAAGGACCUGGCAGAAAACCCACCAGGGGGAGAACAAUGGGCUUGCUAACAGUAUACAGGAUUCUUUAAAUGAAUACGAAGCCAAACUCAGUGACCUUCGUGCUCGGCUGCAGGAGGCAGCUGCCCAAGCCAAGCAGGCAAAUGGCUUGAACCAAGAAAACGAGAGAGCUUUGGGAGCCAUUCAGAGACAAGUGAAAGAAAUAAAUUCCCUGCAGAGUGAUUUCACCAAGUAUCUAACCACUGCAGACUCAUCUUUGUUGCAAACCAACAUUGCGCUGCAGCUGAUGGAGAAAAGCCAGAAGGAAUAUGAAAAAUUAGCUGCCAGUUUAAAUGAAGCAAGACAAGAACUAAGUGACAAAGUAAGAGAACUUUCCAGAUCUGCUGGCAAAACAUCCCUUGUGGAGGAGGCAGAAAAGCACGCACAGUCCUUACAAGAGCUGGCAAAGCAGCUGGAAGAGAUCAAGAGAAACGCCAGCGGGGAUGAGCUGGUGCGCUGUGCUGUGGAUGCCGCCACCGCCUACGAGAACAUCCUCAAUGCCAUCAAAGCGGCCGAGGACGCAGCCAACAGGGCUGCCAGUGCAUCUGAAUCUGCCCUCCAGACAGUGAUAAAGGAAGAUCUGCCAAGAAAAGCUAAAACCCUGAGUUCCAACAGUGAUAAAUUGUUAAAUGAAGCCAAGAUGACACAAAAGAAGCUAAAGCAAGAAGUCAGUCCAGCUCUCAACAACCUACAGCAAACCCUGAAUAUUGUGACAGUUCAGAAAGAAGUGAUAGACACCAAUCUCACAACUCUCCGAGAUGGUCUUCGUGGGAUACAGAGAGGUGAUAUUGAUGCUAUGAUCAGUAGUGCAAAGAGCAUGGUCAGAAAGGCCAACGACAUCACAGAUGAGGUUCUGGAUGGGCUCAACCCCAUCCAGACAGAUGUGGAAAGAAUUAAGGACACCUAUGGGAGGACACAGAACGAAGACUUCAAAAAGGCUCUGACUGAUGCAGAUAACUCGGUGAAUAAGUUAACCAACAAACUACCUGAUCUUUGGCGCAAGAUUGAAAGUAUCAACCAACAGCUGUUGCCCUUGGGAAACAUCUCUGACAACAUGGACAGAAUACGAGAACUAAUUCAGCAGGCCAGAGAUGCUGCCAGUAAGGUUGCUGUCCCCAUGAGGUUCAAUGGUAAAUCUGGAGUCGAAGUCCGACUGCCAAAUGACCUGGAAGAUUUGAAAGGAUAUACAUCUCUGUCCUUGUUUCUCCAAAGGCCCAACUCAAGAGAAAAUGGGGGUACUGAGAAUAUGUUUGUGAUGUACCUUGGAAAUAAAGAUGCCUCCCGGGACUACAUCGGCAUGGCAGUUGUGGAUGGCCAGCUCACCUGUGUCUACAACCUGGGGGACCGUGAGGCUGAACUCCAAGUGGACCAGAUCUUGACCAAGAGUGAGACUAAGGAAGCAGUUAUGGAUCGGGUGAAAUUUCAGAGAAUUUAUCAGUUUGCAAGGCUUAAUUACACCAAAGGAGCCACAUCCAGUAAACCAGAAACACCCGGAGUCUAUGACAUGGAUGGUAGAAAUAGCAAUACACUCCUUAAUUUGGAUCCUGAAAAUGUUGUAUUUUAUGUUGGAGGUUACCCACCUGAUUUUAAACUUCCCAGUCGACUAAAUUUCCCUCCAUACAAAGGUUGUAUUGAAUUAGAUGACCUCAAUGAAAAUGUUCUGAGCUUGUACAACUUCAAAAAAACAUUCAAUCUCAACACAACUGAAGUGGAGCCUUGUAGAAGGAGGAAGGAAGAAUCAGACAAAAAUUAUUUUGAAGGUACGGGCUAUGCUCGAGUUCCAACUCAACCACAUGCUCCCAUCCCAACCUUUGGACAGACAAUUCAGACCACCGUGGAUAGAGGCUUGCUGUUCUUUGCAGAAAACGGGGAUCGCUUCAUAUCUCUAAAUAUAGAAGAUGGCAAGCUCAUGGUGAGAUACAAACUGAAUUCAGAGCUACCAAAAGAGAGAGGAGUUGGAGAUGCCAUAAACAACGGCAGAGACCAUUCGAUUCAGAUCAAAAUUGGAAAACUCCAAAAGCGUAUGUGGAUAAAUGUGGACGUUCAAAACACUAUAAUUGAUGGUGAAGUAUUUGAUUUCAGCACAUAUUAUCUGGGAGGAAUUCCAGUUGCAAUCAGGGAAAGAUUUAACAUUUCUACGCCUGCUUUCCGAGGCUGCAUGAAAAAUUUGAAGAAAACCAGUGGUGUCGUUAGAUUGAAUGAUACUGUGGGAGUAACCAAAAAGUGCUCGGAAGACUGGAAGCUUGUGCGAUCUGCCUCAUUCUCCAGAGGAGGACAAUUGAGUUUCACUGAUUUGGGCUUACCACCUACUGACCACCUCCAGGCCUCAUUUGGAUUUCAGACCUUUCAACCCAGUGGCAUAUUAUUAGAUCAUCAGACAUGGACAAGGAACCUGCAGGUCACUCUGGAAGAUGGUUACAUUGAAUUGAGCACCAGCGAUAGCAGCAGCCCAAUUUUUAAAUCUCCACAGACGUAUAUGGAUGGUUUACUGCAUUAUGUAUCUGUAAUAAGCGACAACUCUGGACUACGGCUUCUCAUCGAUGACCAGCCUCUGAGAAAUAACAAAAGGCUAAAACACAUUUCAAGUUCCCGGCAGUCUCUGCGUCUGGGCGGGAGCAAUUUUGAGGGUUGUAUUAGCAAUGUUUUUGUCCAGAGGUUAUCACUGAGUCCUGAAGUCCUAGAUUUGACCAGUAACUCUCUCAAGAGAGAUGUGUCCCUGGGAGGCUGCAGUUUAAACAAACCACCUUUUCUAAUGUUGCUUAAAGGUUCUACCAGGUUUAACAAGACCAAGACUUUUCGUAUCAACCAGCUGUUGCAGGACACACCAGUGGCCUCCCCAAGGAGCGUGAAGGUGUGGCAAGAUGCUUGCUCACCACUUCCCAAGACCCAGGCCAAUCAUGGAGCCCUCCAGUUUGGGGACAUUCCCACCAGCCACUUGCUAUUCAAGCUUCCUCAGGAGCUGCUGAAACCUAGGUCACAGUUUGCUGUGGACAUGCAGACAACAUCCUCCAGAGGACUGGUGUUUCACACGGGCACUAAGAACUCCUUCAUGGCUCUUUAUCUUUCAAAAGGACGUCUGGUCUUUGCACUGGGGACAGAUGGGAAAAAAUUGAGGAUCAAAAGCAAGGAGAAAUGCAAUGAUGGGAAAUGGCACACGGUGGUGUUUGGCCAUGAUGGAGAAAAGGGGCGCUUGGUUGUGGAUGGACUGAGGGCCCGGGAGGGAAGUUUGCCUGGAAACUCCACCAUCAGCAUCAGAGCGCCAGUUUACCUGGGAUCACCUCCAUCAGGGAAACCAAAGAGCCUCCCCACAAACAGCUUUGUGGGAUGCCUGAAGAACUUUCAGCUGGAUUCAAAACCCUUGUAUACCCCUUCUUCAAGCUUCGGGGUGUCUUCCUGCUUGGGUGGUCCUUUGGAGAAAGGCAUUUAUUUCUCCGAAGAAGGAGGUCAUGUCGUCUUGGCUCACUCUGUAUUGUUGGGGCCAGAAUUUAAGCUUGUUUUCAGCAUCCGCCCAAGAAGUCUCACUGGGAUCCUAAUACACAUCGGAAGUCAGCCCGGGAAGCACUUAUGUGUUUACCUGGAGGCAGGAAAGGUCACGGCCUCUAUGGACAGUGGGGCAGGUGGGACCUCAACGUCGGUCACACCAAAGCAGUCUCUGUGUGAUGGACAGUGGCACUCGGUGGCAGUCACCAUAAAACAACACAUCCUGCACCUGGAACUGGACACAGACAGUAGCUACACAGCUGGACAGAUCCCCUUCCCACCUGCCAGCACUCAAGAGCCACUACACCUUGGAGGUGCUCCAGCCAAUUUGACGACACCGAGGAUCCCUGUGUGGAAAUCAUUCUUUGGCUGUCUGAAGAAUAUUCAUGUCAAUCACAUCCCUGUCCCUGUCACUGAAGCCUUGGAAGUCCAGGGGCCUGUCAGUCUGAAUGGCUGUCCUGACCAGUAACCCAAGCCUAUUUCACAGCAAGGAAAUUCACCUUCAAAAGCACUGAUUACCCAAUGCACCUCCCUCCCCAGCUCGAGAUCAUUCUUCACUCAGGACACAAACCAGACAGGUUUAAUAGCGAAUCUAAUUUUGAAUUCUGACCAUGGAUACCCAUCACUUUGGCAUUCAGUGCUACAUGUGUAUUUUAUAUAAAAAUCCCAUUUCUUGAAGAUAAAAAAAUUGUUAUUCAAAUUGUUAUGCACAGAAUGUUUUUGGUAAUAUUAAUUUCCACUAAAAAAUUAAAUGUCUUUUAAGGAACAUUCUUUUCCACUUGUUAAAAAAAUUAAAUAUAUUUUAAAGCA